rnacentral:tRNA from 1 species
AUUGAGGAAGCUAACAGGGUUUAGCGUUAGCCUUUUAAGCUAAAAAUAGGUGCCUCCCAACCACCCCCAAUGA